UACGUAGGGUGCGAGCGUUGUCCGGAAUUACUGGGCGUAAAGAGCUCGUAGGCGGUUUGUCGCGUCGUCUGUGAAAACCAGCAGCUCAACUGCUGGCUUGCAGGCGAUACGGGCAGACUUGAGUACUGCAGGGGAGACUGGAAUCCCUGGUGUAGCGGUGAAAUGCGCAGAUAUCAGGAGGAACACCGGUGGCGAAGGCGGGUCUCUGGGCAGUAACUGACGCUGAGGAGCGAAAGCGUGGGUAGCGAACAGG
rnacentral:rRNA from 1 species